UAAGAAGUAGAAAGCACUGAGUUCGACUGCACCAAAAGGAGAGAGAUGCCUGGCUAGAACUCUUACUGAGCCCUGCCCCUAUUUGGGAGCUCAUAGGGUAGCCCAGAUCUUUCUUAGGUUAUGCAUUCUAUUGAAAUACGAGUUUUUAGGAUGUGAAUUUUCAAGCCGAAAUGUCUGCACAUUAAAGAAUUCGAGCUUUCAAAGAACUCCAGGUUUUUGCUUACCUCAUCUUAAAUUGUAAGGAUCUGGACUACUCAGAAAACACGAAUUUAAGCAGCUUUUCCAAAGGUGGAAUCUGGUUUCUUUGUACUGAGAGAUUGAUCAGAGCUGGUAAACAGGCAUUUGGUGCAUGGCUAAUUAUCAGCUAUGGAAAUAUAUAUAUAUAUUAUUAGUUUUUUCCUAAAAGAUCAUGUUGAGGAUUUGAAGUCAUAACACGUUUAUUGUGGUAACGCAAACUGAAGUCAUGUGAAUCAAGAGCCAUAAGGGUUCCAUUAGCACACAUGGAAAGCAGGGCUGGAUCUGUAAUAGCACUGACAGUCCAUCCCAUUCAGGAGCAUUACUGUUUAAAAAUUAAACAAACCUCUCAAGUGCCUUAACGUUUAGUUGACAGCGCCAGCACGCUUUAAUUUCCAUUAAACCUGAAGUUGCCACGCUCUCCAUUUUAAAUGGAAAUAGUGUUCUGCUGAUGUCACUGGUGAGCCUUCUUUUCUCCCAGUUAAGAUGUUUGUGUUACAGUGACUUCUUGACAGGAAAUCCCUGAGAAAUACGUUUGUCUUGGUGAGGUGCUUCAGAUGCAAAUUGCUAUACCAGUCAGCCUGUGGGAAGAUAAAACCUUUCGCGUGUGUGGUUUAUUUCAAUGCUGCCCAUUUAAAUCCAACGUACAGUGCUAGGUGUUGGAAUCAACAUGGAUUCUUUCUUCUUGGAAACCUCUGGGAAGGCUGCUUCUAAUUGUGUUGAUUUAUAUAUAUAUAUAUUUAAUGUUAUUUCUUGAAGUGAUAUCUAUGGAAUGCGUUAGCCACAAACCUGGGAAAUCUCCCUUGUUAUCUCAGUCUUCUGUUUCUCUUGUUCCCUCCCCUUUCUGUGCCAGGGUACCCAGAGCUGCCCUUCUGCGCUUCAUCCUCUCAGCCCCAUUGGAUGCUCAGUAGGAGCUGCUCAGUGCACUCACACCAUGUGUUCUGUCUUCAAAGAGCAGGCGAGAGGCACCCUUCUUUUUGCCUGUUUCAAAUGUACCCUUCUGUGUUCCCUGCAAGAAGUCUUCACGCACCUCUCCAGGUAUUCAGGGAGAAGUCCGUUUUUCUGUUACCAUCAGACUCAGUGCUUUGUGCAGUGGUCCACAGUGAAGCCACCAAGGAAAAUGCUUCUAGCUGUGGUUUCCAGCGCAAGAAAUGUUGCUAAUCUGAGCUUAAAAAAUCAAGUUUGGCUGCUGCACAGCACUCAGUUGAUUCCUCAUUAUUUAACACUUCUCUGAAGUUCAGGUCUUUUUUUUUCUCCCUCCUUCAAUACAGCCUUCAUCCAAAAGAUGCUGCCAAAUGCUUUACAAGUAAUUCAGAAGGCACUGUGCUGGUGAAGUGCUGGGAGGGAGAGGUGCAUUCUGCUUUCUGCUCUGUACUUCCACUCUCUUCCUUCUCAUUUCUUUUUCCAAGGUUGGCUUGGUAUUAUGUCACUUGAGAUGGACAAGGUUAAGUGAAAUCCUGCUUUGGAUUUCUGGUGCUCUCCCCUCUGUUUUGUAUUAACACUGAGAAUUUGUUUCGGUGUUGUUUGUGGCUGAGGCUUUUUUCCCCACCCCCUGCCUGAGAUGGCUCAAGAAAUGCUGAACAGAGUGCUUAAUGAUUUCCAGUGUUUUCUCUUGACAUUUUAGUUUAGGAGAAUGAGCAAUGCCUCCGCUGGGGACUUCCCUGGCAGAUCCGCGCCUGAACAGCCAGGGCUGGCUUCCAAGAACAUUAAAUUCCAGCUGCUUUUCCAUCCAAGGCAAGGUUAGUUUAGUAUCCCCCUUCCUCCCUGUGUCUUUACAGCAGGAGAUAUUCUAGCCAACGUAUUCGUCAUGUUUCUGAGCCUCCCUGCUGCUUGAUUUAUGCAGAGAGGACCAGGGAGAGAGAUUCCAGUGUGAACUACCUGCAGGUGUGCAGCAGGGUGCUGCAGUCCAUACGGACCCAGCUAUGCUGGCUGAUCCCCACACGUGGCACCAAAACUGCUUCUUUCCCAUUGGCGAGUGCUGUGAGACGCCCUCGGUGCCUGGGAGCACCGCAGAGAGAAGCAGGAGGGUGAGGGAUGCUGAGAUGGAGAUUCCAAACUUGCAGCUGAUGUGACUCUCCUCAUUACUCCUUGUACUUCACUGUGCUGUUAAACUGUAGAUAACUGUAUGUAAGGCUUAAAAAAAAACAAGCUAUCUUAAUGUCCCCUGUGUUGUGCAGUUCAUGCGCUCGUUCUGAGGUGAAGCGAGUGACUUAUGCCUGUUUUUUUUAAGAUAGGUUAUGCAUAUUUGGUGCCUGGCUUAACGCUGCAAGGGACAUAAUUUUCAGUGGCAUAAUGGACCGCUUGAGUCUCUCUUGUCAACUGGGAGUUUGAGUAUGCAGCGCGUUUGGAAACGCAGCCCAUCCCAACCCAGCAUCUGGCAAGGGAGGAAUCCAGAUCUAUCAGUCGCUAUUUCAACGUGUGACUUCUGCUCGCCUUUGUGCCAUCCGAGCGUGAGUCUAUGAGAUCAUUCAAGUACGGAGACUUGGCAGCCUCCAUGUAUGUUUCAGUUUCAGACUAAGUGUUGUUCUGGCUGAGGAUAAAUUAUUUGGUGUGUUACAUGAGGAUUUGCUGCUUUAUCUGGCCUGAAUAAGGUAAUUAGAAAACUCUUCCACUCCUCCAGAUGAGGCAUUACUGUGUGAGUAAUGAGCUUCUCUGCCCUGUGUCAGAGUGCCUUCUCUCAGUGCUGUCUGGAUUUCUGACCAUUGAACAAGAAGUGUCCAUUGUGCUUCUAGUUUUUCAUUAAUUUUGAAGGACAGGAGUUUUCCCAUCUAGCUGGAGCAGCAACACUGAAUGGGAACGUCUGGCUUAUGUCAGAGCUCCACCAGUGCAGACCUCCCUCACGAAAGCCACAGUGAUGUCACAUCCAGCAGCACAGGAGGGGAUCAGAGCGUGCUCCUACCAGGUCGGCACAGCCCUGAGUUGUCUCCCGGAUUUACUGCCUCGAAGCUGUGCCAUGGUCGCCUUCCGAUCAAAAGCAGGUAGAUAAAUCUGCUCCAUGUUCUGCAAUGACUGCCUGCUGCCCUGAAGGAAGCAUGUCAUGUCUGUAAGGAAGCGUUUCAACCUGCAGCCGCGGAGUACAAACAGCAUCAAUCAGUCCUUUCAAACAAAGGUUGGGUGAGUUUGGGUGGUCUCCCCUGGCAGCAGGAGAGGAGCUGGUAGCCUUUGGCAUGAAAGCAGCCCUAGAACCUCGGCAGUCUCACCAUCAAGUUGGGGUCAAGAUUAAAUUACUCCAGGAAAGAAAAUAAAAGCCAUGCACAAAGUAAAAGGCCCCACAGUCAGCUCUCAGCCUGUCUGACCUCUCUUAAAAGCACUGAGCAUGCUUACAAGGAGCUGGCUUGAAGAAUGAAGCACUUCCGUGCUGUGAAUCAGAUAAGACUUGUGCUGAUAAAAGGAAAAAAAAAAUGCCAUGACUGCUGACAGCCUCAGCAAGCGAUAGGAGGAACCUGUGGGGCCUCUGUGCAAUGUACUGCCUUUGCUCUGCAGUCAGAUAGGAGUUGAAUAUCUUUAUUUGGGUUAAUACUGACGUACGGGACGGGAAGGAAAGCAAAGAUACAGAAACCUGCUCAGGCUGACUGGCACACUGCUGAGGUGCAGGGACUCCUUGCAGUCUCUCAAGUGAAAGGGAUUGGGUUUGUCUUGAGGGACUUCCAAUAGUACUCCUGUUUCAGCCCAGUCUAUCUAACGCUUCUAUUGUUUCUAGCAAUAAAAGCAAAAUGCUCCUCUAUUGUGGCACCCUCUUCCUUUUCUUCCUUUCUCCCAGGUUGUGCUGAGCCCUCAUCUUUUAAGCAGGACUUACUGCCACAUACACAGGGAUUUUUCCACCUUGGAUUCUACCUUUCAAGCACUGAUCACACCCACUGAUGCUUCAGGACACAACCAGGCCAGACUUGCACCUUGCUUCGAAAACACUCUGAGACAAUAAAAGAAGACUUUUUAAA